GAUGAACGCUGGCGGCGUGCUUAACACAUGCAAGUCGAACGGUGAACACGGAGCUUGCUCUGUGGGAUCAGUGGCGAACGGGUGAGUAACACGUGAGCAACCUGCCCCUGACUCUGGGAUAAGCGCUGGAAACGGCGUCUAAUACUGGAUAUGUGAUGUGACCGCAUGGUCUGCGUUUGGAAAGAUUUUUCGGUUGGGGAUGGGCUCGCGGCCUAUCAGCUUGUUGGUGAGGUAAUGGCUCACCAAGGCGUCGACGGGUAGCCGGCCUGAGAGGGUGACCGGCCACACUGGGACUGAGACACGGCCCAGACUCCUACGGGAGGCAGCAGUGGGGAAUAUUGCACAAUGGGCGCAAGCCUGAUGCAGCAACGCCGCGUGAGGGAUGACGGCCUUCGGGUUGUAAACCUCUUUUAGCAGGGAAGAAGCGAAAGUGACGGUACCUGCAGAAAAAGCGCCGGCUAACUACGUG
rnacentral:rRNA from 1 species